rfam:Ruegeria meonggei strain CECT 8411 genome assembly, contig: 0012
CGGUUUGCAUCCAGCUUCAUGCUCACCUAUAUAGGGUAUGUCCUUCGGGACUAUGGACAUAAACGCGCUCGUAAUAAGCGGAUCGGACCCGGGGGCGGUACCCGGCGGCUCCACCAUAUACCUUCUGGAGGUAUCCUUCAUUUGAGGAUUUCGUCAGAAUCGGGGGGCCGAAAUAGGAUCGACGAACGUCUAAAGGGGUUAGCUUUGUUUCGGCGGGGUGCCACCGUACCGGCCCAAAAAGUACAAUUGCAAAUGACAAUCGUGCUCCGGUUGCAGUUGCUGCGUAAGCAGUAGCAAGACCGAAACUUAAGCCCUUGCGCCUAGCCGCGUAAGGCGGGGUUCGCAGGUACCUGGCAACAGAAACCUGCAUU